rnacentral:rRNA from 1 species
GUCUACGGCCAUACCACCCUGAACGCACCCAAUCUCGUCUGAUUAAGAAGUCUAAGAAGAGUCAGACCUGGCUAGUACUUGGAUGGGAGAAAUAGGAAAAAAAAAGUCCUGAAGCUC